ACGCCGGGAACCCCAAGGGAGACCUUCGCGGCAUCCAGGUCUGGGUGAUCGGAACCUAGCUCCCUCACUACGGCGAACCCCUGGCUCGCCGGCGCCGGAGUUACGAUCCUCAGCCCGACCACGUACUCGUGCACGGCGCCUCCCUUUCCCCACAGCGAGCUCCCGUGCGCUCCCGUCGCCAACAUGCCCCCGAUGGUCAGGCCGUACCAGUACGGUGAGUGA
rnacentral:rRNA from 1 species